rnacentral:rRNA from 1 species
CGGAGGGUGCAAGCAUUGAUCGGAAUUACUGGGCGUAAAGGGCGCGUAGGCGGCUUUUCAAGUUAGAUGUGAAAUUCCGGGGGCUCAACCCCGGAGCUGCAUUUGAAACUAAAGAGCUAGUGGCUAGUAGGGAAAACAGAAUUCCACGUGUAGCGGUGAAAUGCGUAGAUAUGUGGAAGAAUACCGGUGGUGAAGACGGUUUUCUGUGCUAAGCCAGACGCUGAGGCGCGAAAGCUAGGGGAGCAAACAGGAUUAGAUACCCUGGUAGUCCUAGCCGUAAACGAUGUAUACUGGAUGUAGGAAGGCUCAACCCUUUCUGUAUCGGAGCUAACGCGUUAAGUAUACCGCCUGGGGAGUACGCUCGCAAGGGUG